GUGCUCACUUCGGCAGCACAUACACUAAAAUUGGAAUGACACAGAGAUUAGCAUGGCCCUGCACAAGGAUGACACACAAAUUCAUAAAGCGUUCCGUAGUUUU
rnacentral:snRNA from 1 species